UUUUAAUUUUAAAUUUCAUUUUCAGUUUAAAUUCAUAAAAAAAUCAUUUUGCUUCCAAAAAAUCCCAAAAUAAUUUCUGAAAUUCUCUUUUAUCUUUCUCCAUCUGAUUUUUAUUUUUCCAUAUUUUAUUUUAUUGAUUUUCUUUUUUUUUGUGGAAUUUUUCUCUUCUCUUUUGUUUUAAUUGGUUUAAAAAUACUUUUCUGCAUUUUUAAAUUCUG
rnacentral:lncRNA from 1 species